rnacentral:rRNA from 1 species
GAUGAACGCUGGCGGCGUGCCUAAUACAUGCAAGUCGAGCGAACGGACGAGAAGCUUGCUUCUCUGAUGUUAGCGGCGGACGGGUGAGUAACACGUGGAUAACCUACCUAUAAGACUGGGAUAACUUCGGGAAACCGGAGCUAAUACCGGAUGAUAUUUUGAACCGCAUGGUUCAAAAGUGAAAGACGGUCUUGCUGUCACUUAUAGAUGGAUCCGCGCUGCAUUAGCUAGUUGGUAAGGUAACGGCUUACCAAGGCAACGAUGCAUAGCCGACCUGAGAGGGGGAUCGGCCACCCCGGAACUGAGACAAGGUCCAGACCCCUACGGGAAGGCAGGGAAGGGAAACUUACGUAAUGGGCGAAAGCCUGACGGAGCAACGCCGCGUGAGUGAUGAAGGUCUUCGGAUCGUAAAACUCUGUUAUUAGGGAAGAACAUAUGUGUAAGUAACUGUGCACAUCUUGACGGUACCUAAUCAGAAAGCCACGGCUAACUACGUG